CCUACGGGUGGCAGCAGUGAGGCAUAUUGGUCAAUGGGCGGGAGCCUGCACCAGCCAAGCCGCGUGAGGGAAGAAGGUACAGCGUAUCGUAAACCUCUUUUGUCAGGGAACAAAGGCGGGGACUAGUCCCCGGAUGAGGGUACCUGAAGAAAAAGCAUCGGCUCACUCCGUGCCAGCAGCCGCGGUACUACGGGGGAUUCGAGCGUUAUCCGGAUUUAUUGGGGUUAACGGGUGCGCGGGCGGCCUGUUAAGUCAGCAGUAAAAGCCCGGGGCUCAACCCCGGCGAGCCGUUGAAACUGGGUGGCUGGAGUUGGAGAGAAGUACGCGGAAUGCGCGGUGUAGCGGUGAAAUGCGUAGAGAUCGCGCAGAACCCCGAUGGCGAAGGCAGCGUACCGGCUCCACACUGACGCUGAGGCACGAAAGCGUGGGUAGCGAACAGGAUUAGAUACCCGUGUAGUC
rnacentral:rRNA from 1 species